rnacentral:rRNA from 1 species
AAUAGAUACCCUGGUAGUCCACGCCGUAAACGAUGAUUACUAGGUGUCCGGGAUGUUAACCUCCUGGGUACCGUAGCUCACGCAUUAAGUAAUCCGCCUGGGGAGUACGGUGGCAACACUAAAACUCAAAGGAAUUGACGGGGGCCCGCACAAACGGUGGAGUAUGUGGUUUAAUUCGAAGCAACGCGCAGAACCUUACCUGGGCUUAACAUCCCACGACAAUCUCAGAGAUGAGACUUUCCCUUCGGGGACGUGGAGAUAGGUGCUGCAUGGCUGUCGUCAGCUCGUGUUGUGAAAUGUUGGGUUAAGUCCCGCAACGAGCGCAACCCUUGCCCUUAGUUGCCACCAUUAAGUUGGGCACUCUGAGGGGACCGCCGGUGUUAAACCGGAGGAAGGCGGGGAUGACGUCAAGUCCUCAUGGCCCUUAGUCCAGGGCUACACACGUACUACAAUGGCAGAGACAAAGGGUAGCGAAGCAGUGAUGUGAAGCCAAUCCCAAAACGCUGUCUCAGUCCGGAUUGAAGUCUGCAACUCGACUUCA